rnacentral:rRNA from 1 species
AUGGCCCUCCACUUCCCCGACGUGCCCGCACUUGAGUCGUUCGAGAUCCGGGUGGUGGAGCGGUUGAAGGAGGAAGAAGACGAGAAGCUGCACGACUACGUCCGGGGCUUGGAUCAUCUACAGCUGCUACUGGCCAUGAGCCCAAGGGGACCCCUUACGGAGCUGUGUGUGGCCCAGAUGCACCUGGGUGAUGCCGAUGGCAUGGUGGCCGCCCUACGAGACUGCUCCAGCCAGCACAAGUACGUCUUCGUCAACUCGGAUCGAGUGGAGCGUGCUGCUCAGCUCAGGAACUCCGUCAUCACCCUAUCAGAGACCCUGCGUUCCAUCGCCGAUGGCCUGCGACAGGGCGUCAUCAACUGGCCUCUCCUUGCCAAGGUGGAGCAAGUGGAGAGCAGCUUCACCGGCGAGGUUCUCGGGCAGAGUCGGAGCGGGGCGUUCCGGGAGGCCGCCCUUGACAUCAACAGCCGCCUUCUUGGGCUCGUCGACCACCCCGAUCUGCCUUCGCCUGGUGAUGAUUCUAGCCCUGAUCCUGUCAUACUCGCACGACUAAUCUCUGUGGUGGACAACCUGGUGCACAAGGUGGAUGCGCUCUGGGCCAUUAGCAUUGACUAUCCUAUCAUCCACACCAAGUAG